rnacentral:rRNA from 1 species
GAUGAACGCUGGCGGCGUGCCUAAUACAUGCAAGUCGAGCGAACGGACGAGAAGCUUGCUUCUCUGAUGUUAGCGGCGGACGGGUGAGUAACACGUGGAUAACCUACCUAUAAGACUGGGAUAACUUCGGGAAACCGUAUCUAAUACCGGAUAAUAUUUUGAACCGCAUGGUUCAAAAGUAAAAGACGGUCUUGCUGUCACUUAUAGAUGGAUCCGCGCUGCAUUAGCUAGUUGGUAAGGUAACGGCUUACCAAGGCAACGAUGCAUAGCCGACCUGAGAGGGUGGUCGGCCACACUGGAACUGAGACACGGUCCAGACUCCUACGGGAGGCAGCAGUCGGGAAUCUUACGCAAUGGGCGAAAGCCUGACGGAGCAACGCCGCGUGAGUGAUGAAGGUCUUCGGAGCGUAAAACUCUGUUAUUAGGGAAGAACAUAUGUGUAAGUAACUGUGCACAUCUUGACGGUACCUAAUCAGAAAGCCACGGCUAACUACGUG